AGAGUUUGAUCCUGGCUCAGGACGAACGCUGGCGGCGUGCUUAACACAUGCAAGUCGAACGAUGAACACCGGAGCUUGCUCUGGUGGGAUUAGUGGCGAACGGGUGAGUAACACGUGAGCAAUCUGCCCCCGACUCUGGGAUAAGCGUUGGAAACGACGUCUAAUACCGGAUACGACACCUCCUGGCAUCAGGUGGGUGUGGAAAGAAUUUCGGUUGGGGAUGAGCUCGCGGCCUAUCAGCUUGUUGGUGAGGUAAUGGCUCACCAAGGCGACGACGGGUAGCCGGCCUGAGAGGGUGACCGGCCACACUGGGACUGAGACACGGCCCAGACUCCUACGGGAGGCAGCAGUGGGGAAUAUUGCACAAUGGGCGCAAGCCUGAUGCAGCAACGCCGCGUGGGGGACGAAGGCCUUCGGGUUGUAAACCCCUUUUAGCAGGGAAGAAGCGCAAGUGACGGUACCUGCAGAAAAAGCACCGGCUAACUACGUGCCAGCAGCCGCGGUAAUACGUAGGGUGCAAGCGUUGUCCGGAAUUAUUGGGCGUAAAGAGCUCGUAGGCGGUGUGUCGCGUCUGCUGUGAAAAUCCAAGGCUCAACCUUGGACCUGCAGUGGGUACGGGCACACUAGAGUGCGGUAGGGGAGAUUGGAAUUCCUGGUGUAGCGGUGGAAUGCGCAGAUAUCAUGAGGAACACCAAUGGCGAAGGCAAAUCUCUGGGCCGUAACUGACGCUGAGGAGCGAAAGCGUGGGGAGCGAACAGGAUUAGAUACCCUGGUAGUCCACGCCGUAAACGGUGGGAACUAGAUGUGGGGUCCGUUCCACGGAUUCCGUGUCGCAGCUAACGCAUUAAGUUCCCCGCCUGGGAGUACG
rnacentral:rRNA from 1 species